CUGGAUGUAGCUCAGCCUGGUUAGAGUGUCGCACUCGGACUGCGAAAGCCACAGGUUCAAAUCCUGUCAUCCAGACCA
rnacentral:tRNA from 1 species